GCAUGUGUGUGCGAUGUGUAUGUGUGGGGGCAUGUAUAGCAACUGCUUGGUGUUGCGAAGUUGGUUCGGCAAGCCUGAAUUGCUAGCGGGUGCGUUACACACGAUGCAGCUACGCUGCCUGGCACCUUCGGUAGUCUGGGUAUAUAAUGCGCGUGUGUAGUUAUCAGCAACACGCUUGGUCGGGUCUUAAGUCUUCCCGACGGUCCGCGAACCGACACAAUGCCGUACUGGCAGUCGGGGAGGCGCUACAGGCGGGCAGACAAGGAGGCACUUCUGCCUGAUCAGGGCAGGCGCCUCGCUAACUUCCCAGGGCCCCAAGUUCGGACCGCAGCUACCACCUCACCGGCAGUGCUGCCCAAUAACCCAAAUUACCAACACUCCCCCUCGGACCGAACUGGGUCCAAUAGCAAACCGCCAACUGACAGCCAACUGACAGGGGAAACAAACAAGGCCAAUCACCGGCCAUAAACGAAGAGAUAACUCCCCCUCAAUCUGAGCACCGUCUGAAGUCACCGCAAGUCACUGCACUAGGCCUCAGCCUUACUGCACGUGGCAGAACCCAGCACGGUCCCAUUCCUAACUAACCUCCCUGCUAACAUACCGCCGCAGCGGCAUCUGUCCUUGACAGAACCCUGCUCAAGUGCUGACGCCCAUCGCCGCGCGGCAGAAGAAGAACUUGGCCUCCGGCAGCGCCUUGGUCAGCGCGUCCGCAAUCAUCUGCUCCGUGGGGCAGUACUCCACAGCCACCUCGCCGCGCGCCACGCGCUCACGCACCAGGUGGUGCUGAAUGUCGAUGUGCUUCGACAGCGGCGAUGAAGCAAUGGGGUUGCGAGCCAGACUGAGGGCGCCCUGGCUGUCGCAGCGGAUGGCUACAGCACCGCUGCGCAGGCCCAGGUCUGACGCCAGCUUGCGCAGCCACAGCGCCUCCUUGGUCGCUGCGGCCGCGGCCUGGUACUCCGACUCCACAGAAGAGGCAGCGACCGUGCGCUGCUGCUGACUGCACCAGCUGACCACCGUCUUGCCCAGGGCAAAGAGGAAGGCGGUCUGCGAGCGGCGGGUAUUGGGGUCGCCGGCCCAGUCGGCAUCACAGUAGCCGACAAAGGAGCCAGCGUCAUAGCCCGCCGCCGCUCCGCCGCCGGCGCUGCUGCUGCCUGCGCCACCGCCGCCGCCAGAGGCGGAAGCGCUGAAGCGCAGGCCCAUGUCGACGGUGUGCUUGAGGUAGCGCAGCACUCCCGUCGCCAGCGCCAGAUGAGCCUUGGUCGGCGCCGCCAUGUGCCGCGCGAGCACGCUCAGCGCGUAGGCAAUGUCGGGCCGGGUGCUGACGGCGACGUAGUUCAGUCCGCCGAUCAGCGAGCGGUAGGGGCCGCCGUCAUCCAGCACAGGCUGCUGCUCGCUGGCGGCCAGCACACGCGUGCCAGCCGGCAGAGGCAGGCUGCGCGGCUUGGCAUCAGCCAUGCCGUGUCGCUGCAGCAGCUCGUUGACGUAGCGCCGCUGCUGCAGCAGGAUGUCGCCGGUGCUGGGGUCCCGCUUAAUCUCCAUCCCCAGAUAGGUGCUGGCCUCUCCCAGGUCACGCACCUCGAAGCACUUGCCAAUGGCGGACUUGACCGCCGCCAGCUGCACAGGGCAGCCAGCGGCAAUCAGCAGGUCGUCCACGUGCACCAGCACAUAGACCGGACCCGCCUCGUCGUGCCGCACAAAGAGUGCCGGAUCCGCCGAGGCUGGCGUGAAGCCCAGCCCGCCCAGCUCCUCGCUGAGCUUGCGGUACCAGCAGCGCGGUGCCUGCUUCAGUCCAUACACGGACUUUAGCAGGCGGCAUGCCAGCGGCACGCUGCGGUGGCUUGCGCCACCGCUGCCGCCGCCACCAGCGCCACCGCCGCCGCCAGUGUCGCCUCCGCCGCCAGUGUCGCCGCUGCUGCUGCCGCCGCUGACCUCAAACCCCUGCGGCUGCUGCAUCCAGAGCUCCUCAUCAAGGUCGCCGUUGAGGAAGGCGGUUUUGACGUCCAUCUGGUGCAGCGACAGGCCGCGUGCGGCGGCGAUGGCCAGAAUGGCCCGCAGCGAGACGUAGCGGCUGGUGGGCGCGAACACCUCGCUGUAGUCUAUGCCCUCGCGCUGGGCGAAGCCUUUGACUACCAGGCGCGCCUUGAAGCGCGGGGCGCCACCAGGCUGCGGCUUCAACUUGUACACCCAGCGGUUGGCCAGCAGACGCACACCCGGAGGCGGCGCCGCCAGCUCCCAGGUCUUGUUGUCGCGCUGGGACUCCAUCUCCUCCUCCAUAGCCUUGCGCCAGGCAGCCGCACGAGGCCCACUGCUGGCCUCAGCGUAGCUGCUGGGCUCGCCCACCCCCGCAGUCGUAGCAGUGCUGACGCCAUAGCUGUCCUCGUCAUCCGAGGGUGGCGCCAGCGGCGGCGUCUCGUCAUCGUCGCUGUCCUCAUCGAACAACUGAGCUGCUGCCGCUGCUGCAGCCGAGGCGGCGCUGUUACUGCUGUUGCUGUGACUUCCGCCGCCCGCCGCCGAGGCGAAAGCACUGAGCGGCGGCGUGAGCACAGGGCGUUGGCUGCGGGUGGCUGGCCGUGAGGGCGGGGCCACCGGCGCCGGAGAGGGCGCCGGCGGGUUGGCGACCGCUGGCGGGUUGGCGACCGCCGGCACUGCAGCACUGCUGUUGCUACCGAACGGCACGCCCGCCAGGCGCGACGCCGGUCCCCGCACGUCCUCAUCAAACCGCACGUCCCGGCUCACCACAACUUUGCCGCCGACCAUGACGCGAUACGCGGCAGAGUUGCGCUGCAGGCCCAGGUACGUGCCGACGUCGGCGCGCGGGCUGAGCUUGGAGCGCUGGUCGGCGGGCAGGGUGACGUAGACGCGGCAGCCGAAAGUGCGCAGGCUGGAGAUGUCCGGCUUGACGCCGGUGAGCGCCUCCCACGGCGUGCUACUGCAGCUGGAGGAGGGGCUCAGGUUGCGCAAGUGGCUGGCAUACGUGACAGCUUCAGGCCAGAAGCUGGAGGGGAGCGCAGCGUCAAACAGAAUGGCGCGCGUGCGGUCCAUCAGCGUGCGGUUGAGCCGCUCAGCGGCUCCGUUCUGCUGCGGCGUAUAAGGCGCGCUGAACUGCUGCACGGUACCGCGCUCGCGCAGCCACUGCUGCAGCUCCUCUGAACGGUAUUCACCACCGUUGUCGCUGCGGAGGUUGCGCAGCUUGCCGCCGCCAGGGUGGCAAUUUUCCAGCUGCACAAUCAUCUCCUGCAGCGCUUCACCAGCGUGUUCUCUGGUGGUGAGCAUCCGGACAGCUGACACCCCCGUGGCGUCAUCCAGCAGCGUGAUGAAGUAGCGAGAGCCACCGCGGCCCAUGAUAGGCAUAGGGCCGCACACAUCAGAAUGCGCAAGAGCCAGAGGCUGCUGCGGCUCGCUGCUGCUGUCCGGGAAGGGCGAAGAGGCUGCCUUUGCCUCGACGCACGUGCUGCACACUGACUCGGCUGCCUGGCUGAGAGCACUCAGGUCAACGUCAAGGCCAGUGACCAGGGAGCCGUUCACCAUCUGCAUCAGCGCAUGCCAGCCAACGUGGCCGAAACGCCGGUGCAGCCGGUGAGCAGCGCUCAGAGCAGUCACCGACGAGCUGGAGCUGCUGCUGACGGUGCCGCCGCCGCCCGAAGACGCGGCGGUGCCGUUGCUGCUGCUGCUUGCGCCGGAGCUGUUGAGGCUGCUGCUGGUGGUGCCGCCGCUGCCCGAGGGCGCGGCGGCGGAAGAAGGAAGAAAGCUGCUGUCGCUGCCAGUGGCAGCGGCGCCGCCGCCGCUCACAGGCGCGGCGGUGCCGCCGCCAAUCGCCGGCGGCGCCAUGGCGGGCGCCGCCAGCAGGACCGGCAGCAUAGUCACAGACAGCGGAUAUUGACCGUCACGCACGCGGCCGCUGAGAAUGGAGCGGCCAGCCAGCUCGACAGUCGCCGACUCCCCCUCGAACGCUACCUUAGCGCCGCUGGACGCCAGCCGGCGCACCGAUAGCAGGGAGAGGUGGGCGUCUGGCACGUACAGAACGCCCGUCACGUCAACGCGCUGCUGCCCAGAGAGCAUCCGGAGAGUCCCCGAUCCCCCGACCGGGCUGCUGCGUCCAUCACCCCACAGCACAUGACUCACUCUUGGGCGCACCACGAAGUCGUGGAGCAGGCGGCGGUGCGGCGUGAUGUGUGCGAAGGUGCCGGAGUCAAUCACCGGCACAUCGAAGGCGGCGGCGCUCGCAAAGCUGCCGCCGACGCUUCCUGACGCAUCAUCACUGCCGCCACCGCCCGCACUGGGGGACAGCAUGCUGCCUCUGCUCACAUCGCAGACGACGAGCACGCGGCCGCCGAGGCCCGCAGGCCCGGCUACGCCGCUGCUGCAACUGGAAACUCCUGCUCCAGUGCUGCUGCUGUUGCUACCGCCGAAGUCCCGGGUGACAGCGCGGUAGGUGUUGGACAGCAGGCUGCUGCCGGCGCCCGGGGGUGGCGCGGCGCUGCCGCUGUAGCUACUGCUGCUGAGGCCGUUGCCGGCCGAGCUGUAGCUGAAGGUGCUGGUGCUACUGCAGCCGCCGUGGUCCCCAAUCACGGAGGCGCUGGGCACGCCGUCAUCGGCCAUGCUGUAGCUGCUAAUGGCGCCGGAGCUCGCCGGCUCCGCGCCAAAGGUGUGCACGAUCAGACUGCUGCUGGGGUAGUCCUCAGCCCAGUCGUCAACACUGCUCACAACCAGCACAUGCGCGGGCCGGGAGGCGGCGGACCGGGCGCCACCCCUGGCACCCGAACCCCCGCCGCCGCCCUUGCCGCGCUUCUUGGCCCCAUCUCCGCUUCCGCUGCCGCCGCCGCCGCCGCCGCCGCCGCCGUGCUUCUUCUGCUGCUGCUGCUGCUGCUGCUGCUGCUGUAGCUGCACGGGCGAGCGAAUGGAGGCGCGCUGGAUGCCAGCGCUGACGUCGGCCUGGCGCACGGCGCAGUUGGGCUUGAUGUGCCCGGGCUGCUCGCAGUAGUGGCAGACAAUGCCGCCGCUGCUGCUGCUGCCGCCUGCGCCGCCGCCACCGCCAGCGUUACCGCCGCGGCUGCGGUUGACGUUGCCCACGUGUCCGCCGUUGGCCUGCCGGAAGCGCUUGGUCACCUCGUGCUGCAUGAGGUAGCCACGCAGCUCCGCAACAGUCUGCUGGGGCUGGGAGUUGCAGAUCUCAACCAGCACCUCAUACGCCGGCAGCGGCAGACCAUUCAACAGGCGCAGUCGCACGGCGGGCUCCUCCCAGGUGCCGCCGAGCGCGUAAAUCCUGUCGCGCAGGUCACUGGCACGCGCAAAGUAUUGCGACAUGUUCUCCCCUUCUUCCAGCUGGAAGCAGCUGCGCUCCAUGUCGCACUGCUGCAGCUUCUGAGCUGCAGAGGCCCGGAACAGCCCCUGAAUGUACGCCAGGGCGGUGACGGCAUCGGGGGCUUGCCACAGCUGCCGGGCAACGUUGGGCGUGCACGACGUGCGGAGCCAGCUCAGCGCCUGGCCGUUCUCGUCGGCCAGCUCGAGAGCAGUACGACCAGGUGGCGUCGAGGUAUACAAAUACACUCCCAGCGGAACCUUACGAGUCGUGAGGAAGUCAUAGAGCUGUAUGAGCCAAGUGAAAUAGUUCGCAGCAUCAUCUUGAAGCUGCUUGAACUUGACCAGUCCCGAGGACGAGUCAUCCAUCCUACCUAGCUAGCGAUAAUAAGGCUUGCCAACCGCGAGCGAAUUAACGACAAGCGGGGCUCAUAACCUGUUGCGAAGUUGGUUCGGCAAGCCUGAAUUGCUAGCGGGUGCGUUACACACGAUGCAGCUACGCUGCCUGGCACCUUCGGUAGUCUGGGUAUAUAAUGCGCGUGUGUAGUUAUCAGCAACACGCUUGGUCGGGUCUUAAGUCUUCCCGACGGUCCGCGAACCGACACAAUGCCGUACUGGCAGUCGGGGAGGCGCUACAGGCGGGCAGACAAGGAGGCACUUCUGCCUGAUCAGGGCAGGCGCCUCGCUAACUUCCCAGGGCCCCAAGUUCGGACCGCAGCUACCACCUCACCGGCAGUGCUGCCCAAUAACCCAAAUUACCAACACUUGGUUACAAGAUGUGUUCAUUGUGUUGGCACUAGAUACAGUAGGGAUUAAAGACGGGACGCUUGUGGGAUGUUAUGGGCGGCUGACCAGUUACGGUACCAAUGACUAAGCAAUAUGUGCUUGAGUGUGCGACGGGACAGUGUUGAGGCAAGUUGGUG
rnacentral:lncRNA from 1 species